UAUUAGCCCAGGAACUUUCAGAGGCCACCACAGUCAGGGUAACAGCAGUCCAACCAAAGGAGAAUGGCAAGGAAGAUCCAAAGCUGUCACAGGUACAGAAUGUACCCGAUUCAGAAAGUGUCACCACCCAGAUGAAUUCUGCUUCUGCAGAAACCACAACUGAGGAGGAUCCUGACAUAUAUUCCGCUGCUGGUAUGAAGGUAAAGGAACUGGCCCAGAUGUUUUCAGCUAUCACAACCAACAAAACAGCAAUCCAACCAAAGGGGAAACACAAGGGGGAACAAAAACUCUCACAGG